AAAAAAAAAAAAGAAAAAGAAAACUGCUAUAGCACUACUGGAAAAGAGAGAGAAGGGUACCUGUCUACCAUUGACAUAUAAGAAAUGUAGAAGUUCUGGAGCAUGUGAAACACAGGGAACCACAUGAAGCCAAACUAAUCAGACUUGAAUAGCAGGGAAGAUCCUUCUAGGCUGGCUUAUCACCAUCUGGCUUAGAUUACCCCUGUUGGACAGAGCUCUGGUCCCAGAACAUUCCUAUGCUGCUAUCAGUCCCCAAAGAGCUCUUCUGGAGUUAAUGCACAAAUCUCUGGUUCAAUCAGUUGCCACUGAUUUAAUGGAGAGGCCACCUUUAAAAAAAUCUUACAGAGAAGAAGUGUGUUUUCCUUCACUUCAGGAAUCCUAAACGAGAGAAGGUGUGGGAGCAGAACUGGACCACAGAGGCUCCAACAAGCCGCAUCUCCCUCUCCACACCCCACUCGGUCCUAAGACUCCAGAGGCACACAUCAGACUCCCAAAGUCAGGAAGUGGGGGAUGUGAGGGGCCACUGUAGCUUCUUGUGUUGCAUGGCAACUAUCAACAAAAGGUGUAAACAAAAGCAUAUUGCAUUGCUUUGGCAGG